UCCAAUCCCAUCGAAACCAAAACCUAGCUGAGCUUCUUCCCCAAAUUCAUGGAGGCUCCACCGGCGUCAGCACCGUCUCACCACCGAUUUGAGUUUGCACGACCACCCCUCACCUUAUUCUAGAAGGAAAUUCAUUUGCGUUCGCGUUCCAUCAUCGCAGCUCACAUCGGUUCACUGCUGUAUGCUUGUCGCCGUCGCUGCUGCGCCUUUAGCCAGAUCCUCCGCGUCGCGUGCUCGCGUUUGGUCUCUCUCCUCCGUCACUCUCUUGCUUGGCGUCGAGUUCACCGUCGACGAGGAAGCUUUGCCACCGUUUCUCCAGUGCUUCGCAUACGGGGAUACUAAAUAAGAGCAAAUCGGUUGCUAUUGAUGCUGGAAACAAGGGCUACCCUCCGAAUAAGGUCCAGCUGCUUUUGUCCAAGGACACAUUUGGCUGCUUAUACACCAUCAAUUAAGAAGGGUCGACCUGUAUUACAAGGACUAUUGGCUAUAGAUCACUUAACAAAGGAGGUAAGUUUUAACUAAAUAUUCUUAAUAUGGUAGGAAAGGUUUUAAUUUCUACUUUUUUCCUAUCAAAUAACAUCAUUAUGAGUAUGACAAGAUAGGACAAAUGGGAUUUGGAGCUUGAACAUUAUUAUUUUAUUUUUUAGGGUACAAAGAAAGGGGGUUUUGAACCCAGGGUACAAGGGAAGGGGAACUCUAUCCUAAUCAUCUACCCCAUUUAGGCUAAUCCCAAUUAGCUAGCUUGAACAUUAUUUGAUGACUAUCCUUGAUAUUUAAUUUCAUCUGUAGUUUGAGAAUGCCAGAUAUGCUCCCUUUUAAAUAUUUCGAAUAAAUUUAAAGUAUGGCUAUUAAUUUU